ACAAGGAUGACUGAAAUGAAUCUGAUUCUAAACUGAGGAAGUAUCAUAGUUAUCCUCUAAGAAGUUCUGAGUGG